UAGCAUAUUUAUGUACUUCUUUUCUGUUUAGGAGAAUGACCAAAAUGUAGGGCUCAGGUAGAAGAGGAAGCAGAGGUGAAUUUUAAUCUUCAGAUUGUGUAAUCAGUUCCCAGAUGACUGAGAGCUGGCUUCCGUUCACCUUUGAUUUACUACUACACCCACUACAGGGACAGGCAGAAUGAAAAGAACCAGACUUCCCAUGUUAGAAGCAGACCUGAUAGUGCUGCUCUCCUUUGCAGAGACAAUCCUAGUAAUACUAAAAGGAGUGUACCGGAACACCAGGAAGCUGGGUGCAAAAUCAAAGCAACUCUUCCCAUUUUAUUUUUUAAUUUUAAUUUUGUAGAGAUGAGGUUUCUCUAUAUUGCCCUGGCUGGUCUCAAGCUCCUGAGCUCAAGCAAUCCUCCCACCUCCGCCUCCCAAAGACUUCUCAUUUUGAAGUUUUUGAUGUAAGGACCCCAUUAAGUGGAAUUAAAUAAAAACAUAUUUUAAGAAAAAGUAGAAGAGACAAUGGUAUAAAGGUUUAAGAAACACACACACACAUAUGGACAUAUUGAACUGCAUUAGUAUGUUUAAAAAAUGUAUUUUGACCUAUUUCAAACAAAUCACACUCUGAUAACUUUAGAGAUUUCUAGGCUUAAUUUCUGUGUCAUUAUAGCAAUUAAAG
rnacentral:lncRNA from 1 species